rnacentral:rRNA from 1 species
AUCAGCCUACGGGACGCAGCAGUGAGGAAUAUUGGUCAAUGGACGAGAGCCUGAACCAGCCAAGUAGCGUGAAGGAUGACUGCCCUAUGGGUUGUAAACUUCUUUUAUAUGGGAAUAAAAUGUUCCACGUGUGGGAUUUUGUAUGUACCAUAUGGAUAAGGAUCGGCUAACUCCGUGCCAGCAGCCGCGGUAAUACGGAGGAUCCGAGCGGUAUCCGGAUUUAUUGGGUUUAAAGGGAGCGUAGGUGGAUUGUUAAGUCAGUUGUGAAAGUUUGCGACUCAACCGUAAAAUUGCAGUUGAAACUG